rnacentral:rRNA from 1 species
GACGAACGCUGGCGGCGUGCUUAACACAUGCAAGUCGAACGGAAAGGCCCUGCUUUUGUGGGGUGCUCGAGUGGCGAACGGGUGAGUAACACGUGAGUAACCUACCCUUGACUUUGGGAUAACUUCAGGAAACUGGGGCUAUACCGGAUAGGAGCUCCUGCUGCAUGGUGGGGGUUGGAAAGUUUCGGCGGUUGGGGAUGGACUCGCGGCUUAUCAGCUUGUUGGUGGGGUAGUGGCUUACCAAGGCUUUGACGGGUAGCCGGCCUGAGAGGGUGACCGGCCACAUUGGGACUGAGAUACGGCCCAGACUCCUACGGGAGGCAGCAGUGGGGAAUAUUGCACAAUGGGCGGAAGCCUGAUGCAGCAACGCCGCGUGCGGGAUGACGGCCUUCGGGUUGUAAACCGCUUUCGCCUGUGACGAAGCGUGAGUGACGGUAAUGGGUAAAGAAGCACCGGCUAACUACGUG